rnacentral:tRNA from 1 species
GCCCCCGUCGUCUAAUGGAUAUGACACUGGCCUCCGAAGCCGGAAAUCCAGGUUCGACUCCUGGCGGGAGCA